rnacentral:rRNA from 1 species
AUUGAACGCUGGCGGCAGGCCUAACACAUGCAAGUCGAACGGUGGCAGGAAGAAGCUUGCUUCUUUGCUGACGAGUGGCGGACGGGUGAGUAAUGUCUGGGAAACUGCCCGAUGGAGGGGGAUAACUACUGGAAACGGUAGCUAAUACCGCAUAACGUCUUCGGACUAAAGAGGGGGGACCUUCGGGCCGUCUUGCCAUCGGAUGUGCCCAGAUGGGAUUAGCUAGUAGGUGGGGUAACGG